GCAGCGGUGGUUCAGUGGUAGAAUUCUCGAGUUUCAUGUGGGAAACUUGGGUUUGAUUCCCGGCCACUGUA
rnacentral:tRNA from 1 species